rnacentral:rRNA from 1 species
UACGUAGGGGGCAAGCGUUGUCCGGAAUUAUUGGGCGUAAAGAGCUCGUAGGCGGUCUGUCGCGUCGGCUGUGAAAACCCGGAGCUCAACUCCGGGCCUGCAGUCGAUACGGGCAGACUGGAGUUCGGCAGGGGAGACUGGAAUUCCUGGUGUAGCGGUGAAAUGCGCAGAUAUCAGGAGGAACACCGAUGGCGAAGGCAGGUCACUGGGCCGCAACUGACGCUGAGGAGCGAAAGCAUGGGGAGCGAACAGG